rnacentral:lncRNA from 1 species
CUCGCUGCCCUACUGGGACCUGCCGGGAGCCCCCCGGGCUGGGUGAGACCCCCUGGGGUGGGAUUGAUCCCCCCUGGGUGGGAUCUGACCCCCCCUGGGUGGGAUUUGAUCCCCCCUGGGUGGGAUUUGACCCCUCCAGGUGGGAUCCAGCCCCGAUCCCAUCAGGAGAGGAUUUGGGGUCGGGUGUUGUGUCCCCUCUCCAUGACCUGCCAGGACCUGCCAGGAGCCCCCCGGGCUGGGUGAGACCCCCUG